rnacentral:rRNA from 1 species
GGAAUCUUCCACAAUGGGACGCAAGUCUGAUGGAGCAACGCCGCGUGAGUGAAGAAGGUCUUCGGAUCGUAAAACUCUGUUGUUAGAGAAGAACACGAGUGAGAGUAACUGUUCAUUCGAUGACGGUAUCUAACCAGCAAGUCACGGCUAACUACGUGCCAG